GCGGGAAGGACACGGCGAUGAUGCGCUCCGUGAUGUACGUCAGGUCCAGCUCGUAUCCCUCCUCCAUGCUGAAUGCGGGGCUCUCCUGUCACAAAAGGAACGAUACCGCCUGCAGGCUACAUCCCGGCACUUUGAAGGGGGCCCGAGAGGGAGCCAUGGAGCGGGGAUGUUUCAGCCGAGCGGAAUGAAAGAGGCCAUGUGUCUGAAGAGGUCAUCGCUCGGGGAAACAGAGCCGGGUGUUCGGUGAGUGUGCAUGAAAGCCUGGUCGAGAGGUCCUUGGGGGAUUGCUGAAACAAAUGCCAGGGUUAGUCGAUUUCCCUUGAGACUCUGUUGGAAAAAAAUUUUUGACUAAUGGCAAAUGAAUGAACAGGGUGGCCAGCAGAGAGUGUCCACCACCUAUCUCCAGGGCAGGGAUGAGAGGCGGG